rnacentral:misc_RNA from 1 species
GGUGAAGAACGCAGCGAAAUGCGAUAAGUAGUGUGAAUUGCAGAAUUCAGUGAAUCAUCGAAUCUUUGAACGCACAUUGCGCCCCUUGGUAUUCCAUGGGGCAUGCCUGUUCGAGCGUCAUUUGUACCUUCAAGCUCUGCUUGGUGUUGGGUGUUUGUCUCGCCUCUGCGUGUAGACUCGCCUUAAAACAAUUGGCAGCCGGCGUAUUGAUUUCGGAGCGCAGUACAUCUCGCGCUUUGCACUCAUAACGACGACGUCCAAAAGUACAUUUUUACACUCUUGACCUCGGAUCAGGUAGGGAUACCCGCUGAACUUAAGCAUAUCAAUAAGCGGAGGA